rnacentral:lncRNA from 1 species
ACAGAUCGGAUUUCGGAGUCCGAGGCGCGAGCCCCGACUCGGUCAUCUUCAGGGAUUAGACCAAAAUAGAAUCUGAUUAGUUUUGGCAUAAUCAUGAAUUACAAAUAAGAACAAUGAAAGACAACGACACUCGUUGUUGUCGACUGAGACAGUGAAGAAGGAAAGAGAAACCCAACCUCUAAACCCAACAACAAUCAAACUCAAAAUCUUCCCAUCAUAUUUCCUCGCGAAAUUAACAAACUUACCAGCGGAGAGAGAAAGAAGCUUGAUGAAAUUUUGCCUCAGAGAGCCCGAGAGGGUCUUCAAAGAUUUCAAGAACGGCAGAAAUAUUUAGGCGGCAGCAGCUGAGGCAGGCAUGGGAAGCGGUUGAUAUGGGCACGUGGACAGCUUUCCAGUGACGCUGCAUGAUUGUUCAGUGCAGGCACAACCUCUUCUUGCAGACCCGAUUUGCAGAUCCGCUCCUAGAGCUGCCAGCUCUUCACAUCAUCUUUGUCCACAUCAGAACCCACGAGCCUCUUGAGCUCUGACCUGACCUUGUAGAACACGUGCCUCCAGCUUCCUCUGUUGUCAGAGCCAAGAGCACAGCAAAAAGAUGGAACAAAGCAGCAGCACUACAUCAGUGUGUGCUUUUAUAAAAGAUGUAUUAUGGCUAUUGCCUCAACCAAGCAGGCUACACCUAACAAGAGAAGCAAGUCUGUAUAGAAGGAGCACUUAAUGACAUGUAAGCAUCACGGUAGCUGGAUGCAUAGAAGGAGAAUCAAGCACCGAUGAGAGUGACAGUGAGAGUAAUGCAUAUCACAAACACCGCCAGUUAGUACUCGAGACUGCUGCUCAAGUUUUCAGUGAUGCAGCCCAGGAAUAUUCCAAACUUUCAUUGGUCAAAGAAAGGUUUGAAGAAUGGAAGAAAGGUGCCAGAGAUGAUUUUUUUUAAUGUAAAUGGGAGUGCUUUGGAAUAAUUUGGUGGACUUGUGACAGCAGUGAUGAUGAUGAUGAUAAGGCCCAUGCGGAGAAACCAGCUAGUGGUGGACAGCAAUACUAGAAAGGUCCUCUGCUCCCUAUCUUUCAAAUACUUUAGUAUUAUUCUAUACUAUUUAACUUGCUUUGCAGGUGGAAAGGCAGUAACAAUUAACAAGAACAUGAUAAAUAUUAAUAUUAAUGGUAGUAUAAUAAUAUUACACUAUUUGAUCGUGGUGUUGAUAAGAACCCACAAAUAAUUGACGUUUACUUUAUCGCAAAUUUAUUUUUUUACUUAAAGUAUGAUGUGGAAUUAACCCUCAUACUUUAUGAAUUUAAUUUACUGCACAUUUACUUUUACUUAAAGUAUGAUGAGGAAUUAACCCUCAUACUUUAUGAAUUUAAUUUACUGCACAUUUACAUUUAUUUAAAAGGGUGGUGCGAGUUUAUCGUCCACGCCUUUACUUUUAUUUAAAUGUAUGGAGCAGAAUUAGUGCCCAUACAAGCAUGUUUACUUUAUCGUAAAUUUACUUUUACUUAAAGUAUGAUGAGGAAUUAACCCUCAUACUUUAUGAAUUUACUUUACUGCACAUUUAUUUUUACUUAAAGUAUGAUGAGGAAUUAACCCUCAUACUUUAUGAAUUUACUUUACCACACAUUUAAUUUUAUUUAAGAUAUGGUGCGGAAUUAACGUCCAUAUAGCAAGCAAUUUAUUUUAUCGCACAUUUACUUUUACUUAAAGUAUGAUGAGGAAUUAACCCUCAUACUUUAUGAAUUUAAUUUACCGCACAUUUACAUUUAUUUAAAGUGUGGUGCGGGUUUAUCGUCCAUACUAGUAAUUUAUUUACUAGCAAUUUAUUUUAUGGAUUAAAUGUGCUGUAUGAUGAGUUUUUACAGUAUGCAGAUCAAGAC